GAACAGAGAGUGAAGGGAGGCGGGCUGUCUAAAGGCAGAAGCCAAUCAAAUGGAGGAAGAGAAGAAGAAAAAGAAGAAGAAGAAAUGGAAGGGCGAGGAUUAAAAAAAGGAAACGCUGUUUCCCACCCGCCACCGACGGGAGAAAGCUCGGCCAAUCAGAAUGGAAGGCUACCUUCUGUGCCCAACCAUGUUAUCUGCCUUUCCUGAGUUGGAUGAGGAGAGCACAUCUUUCUCCUGUUCUGGCCACUCUUUACAGAGGCAUGAUUGAGUGCAUUUUAACAAACUACAUCACUGUUUGGUUUGGUGGCAGCAGUGCCUCAGAGAGAAAGUCCAUUCAGAGAGUGGUAAGGACAGCCGAGAAGAUUAUAGGAAGCUCUCUUCCCGCCAUUCAGGAUACUGCUUAUAAGUGCUAUGUGCUUAGAGCUCAAAGCAUUGUCAGACACACACACACACACACACCCAUUUCACGGUCUUUUUCUGUUGCUCCCCCUCUGGGAGGCGGUUUCAAAGUAUUUCUAGCAAGACUACCAAAUUCUGUAACAGCUUUGUUCCUAUGCUAUUCUGGUAAACUCACAAGAUUUGUUUUUCUCGCCAUGUACAUGUAUACAUCCAAACUAGACAGUGUUGAUUCUCUGUCAUAUAAUACAUGUGGGUAUACAGUAUGUAUAAUUUUGUAUUUAUUUACUUAAUUGUUUUGUCAUGUUUAUGUUUACUGGAGAUGGUGAGCCUUUGAGAGCUGUAUGCAACCAAAAUUUCAUUUUAAUGUAUGCUGAUUAGUGUACAUUCAAAGUGACAAAAUUAUUCUAAGUAUAAGUUAUCUGUGCCAUCCACAAGAGGAAAAAAAAGAGAUUGCUGAAUAACUCUACAUUGAAGAUAUAGAGCUUGCUGACCCUCCCUCAAGGGCAAACUACUUUUGGUAGAAAGGGAGAGAGGGUGUUCUUUGAGCCCAAAUGAGAUGGUUUGCCCUGAAGCACACAAUAAUUCAAAUUAUCUGUAUGCCAAAUAAAUUUGACUUCCUUUUUUCCACACUCAACCAUUCUUUCACAGUCAGGGG